rnacentral:rRNA from 1 species
CCUACGGGAGACUGCAGUGAGGAAUAUUGGUCAAUGGACGAGAGUCUGAACCAGCCAAGUAGCGUGAAGGAUGACUGCCCUAUGGGUUGUAAACUUCUUUUAUAUGGGAAUAAAAUGUUCCACGUGUGGGAUUUUGUAUGUACCAUAUGAAUAAGGAUCGGCUAACUCCGUGCCAGCAGCCGCGGUAAUACGGAGGAUCCGAGCGUUAUCCGGAUUUAUUGGGUUUAAAGGGAGCGUAGGUGGAUUGUUAAGUCAGUUGUGAAAGUUUGCGGCUCAACCGUAAAAUUGCAGUUGAAACUGGCAGUCUUGAGUACAGUAGAGGUGGGCGGAAUUCGUGGUGUAGCGGUGAAAUGCUUAGAUAUCACGAAGAACUCCGAUUGCGAAGGCAGUUCACUGGACUGCAACUGACACUGAGGCUCGAAAGUGUGGGUAUCAAACAGGAUUAGAUACCAUUGUAGUC